rnacentral:rRNA from 1 species
GCAUAUCAAUAAGCGGAGGAAAAGAAACCAACAGGGAUUGCCCCAGUAACGGCGAGUGAAGCGGCAACAGCUCAAAUUUGAAAUCUGGCCCUUUCGGGUCCGAGUUGUAAUUUGUAGAGGAUGCUUUUGGCAAGGCGCCGCCCGAGUUCCCUGGAACGGGACGCCACAGAGGGUGAGAGCCCCGUCUGGCUGGCCGCCGAGCCUCUGUAAAGCUCCUUCGACGAGUCGAGUAGUUUGGGAAUGCUGCUCAAAAUGGGAGGUAUAUGUCUUCUAAAGCUAAAUAUUGGCCAGAGACCGAUAGCGCACAAGUAGAGUGAUCGAAAGAUGAAAAGCACCUUGAAAAGAGGGUUAAAUAGUACGUGAAAUUGUUGAAAGGGAAGCGCUUGUGACCAGACUUGGGCGCGGCGGAUCAUCCGGGGUUCUCCCCGGUGCACUUCGCCGUGUCCAGGCCAGCAUCAGUUCGUCGCGGGGGAAAAAGGCUUCGGGAACGUGGCUCCCCUGGGAGUGUUAUAGCCCGUUGCAUAAUACCCUGCGGUGGACUGAGGACCGCGCAUCUGCAAGGAUGCUGGCGUAAUGGUCACCAGCGACCCGUCU